AUUAAGGGCGCAUGGUGGAUGCCUUGACUGAAUGGAGCGAUGAAAGACGUGGUCUGGCUGCGAUAAGUUUCGGGGAGGUGCCAAACAACCUUCGAUCCGAAAAUUUCUGAAUGGGGGAACCCCAUCGAGCAACACUCGAUGACCUUGCACUUGAUGCGAGGAGCACACCCGGGGAAUUGAAACAUCUUAGUACCCGGAGGAAUAGAAACCAAUAGGUAUUUCCUGAGUAGCGGCGAGCGAAACGGAAGAAGCCCAAACCUCUGCGCUUGCGUAGAGGGGUUGUAAGGCGUUAGUGCUGCAUUUAUGUAGGAAGAGUUACAAAAUAUGUUAUUAAAAGAACAACCUGGGAAGGUUGACCCGAGAGGGUAAUAGUCCCGUAUUUGAAAAUGACAUAACUCUUUAGCUAACGUUCUUGAGUAGCUCGGGACACGAAUAGCCCGAGUGAAUCUGCCAGAACUAACUGGUAAGGCUAAAUAUACAUUCAGAUCGAUAGUGAACUAGUACCGUGAGGGAAAGGUGAAAAGAACCCCGGUUAGGGGAGUGAAAUAGAACUGAAACCAUGUGUCUACAAGGAGUCGAAGAGGUCUUGCACCUCGACGGCGUGCCUAUUGAAGAAUGAGCCAACGAGUUAAUGCAUAUGGCUGGCUAAGCCCUUUUCGGGUGGAGCCACAGCGAAAGCGAGUGUGAAUAGCGCGAAAUAAUAGUCGUAUGGAUUAGACCCGAAAUCAGGUGAGCUUACCAUGAGCAGGGUGAAGGAGUUCGAAAGAUCUCUGGAGGCCCGAACCGUUGCGUCGUACAACGCGCUCGGAUGACUUGUGGUAAGGAGUGAAAAGCUAAUCGAACUUGGUAAUAGCUGGUUCUCUCCGAAACAGCUUUAGGGUUGGCGUCACGUGUUCCUACUGGGGGUAGAGCACUGGAAGGUGUGAACAGGGCGAAAGCUCGUCACUCCUAUCAAACUCCGAAUACCAGUAGUUAAAAGCGUGGCAGUUAGAGUCAGGGGGCGAAGCUCCUGUGCUCAAAAGGGAAACAGCCCAGAUCGCAAGUUAAGGUCCCUAAAUUGAUACUAAGUACAAACGAGGAGGUGAGGUUUCUUUGACAGUGAGGAGGUUGGCUUAGAGGCAGCCACCCUUUAAAGAUAGCGUAACAGCUCACUCACUCAGAGACCUUGCGCCGAAGAUGAUCGGGGUUAAGUAUCGUACCGAAACUGCGGGCUUGUGAAUUUCAUUCAGGAUAUGUUUACACGUCCUGAAUGAAGUUCGCAAGCGGUAGGAGAGCGUUCCAUUCGCGAUGAAGCCAAAGGGGUGACCCAUGGUGGAGUAUAUGGAAGUGAGAAUGUUGGCACGAGUAACCGCAUUGUGGGUGAGAUUCCCACACGCCGAAAUACCGAGGUUUCCUGGGCUAUGAAGAUCAGCUCAGGGUUAGUCGGGCCUAAGCCGAUCCCGAACGGGGGAGGCGAUGGACAUACGGUUAAUAUUCCGUAACCCGCGCACUGUGCGACUGGAGUGACGGGGGAAACAAGUAUAAGCAUCUUAUUGGAUUGGUGUUUUUUGGUCACAAGCGGGGAUACAUAGGCAAAUCCGUGUAUCACAUACCUGCGAGACCCGAAGAAAUUCACUGUUUCGGCAGUGGAGAUUUAUGCGAAGAGCCCUCCGAGAAAAGCUUCUAAGCUUCAAUGGUGUGUGGACCGUACCGCAAACCAACACAGGUGGUAGAGUCGAGAAGACUAAGGCGAACGGGUGAAAGUUCCUCAAGGAACUCGGCAAAAAAGCGACCGUAACUUAGGGAUAAGGUCUGCCUGCUAUCUUCGGGUAGUAGGCCGCAGCGAAAGAGUCCUGGCGACUGUUUAUCAAAAACACAGCUCCGUGCGAACUCGUAAGAGGAUGUAUACGGGGUGACGCCUGACCAAUGCCGGAAGGUUAAACAUGGAUGGUGUAUGAAGUUUACUUUGUAUGCUGGGCUAUGUAAGCCCCGGUGAAUGUCGGCCGUAACUAUAACGGUCCUAAGGUAGCGUAAUUCCUUGUCUAGUAAUUUUAGACGUGCACGAAUGGCGUAACGACUGGGACACUGUCUCGAGGAACUGCCCGGUGAAAAUGCAAUAGCGGUAAAGAUGCCGCUUACCUGCAGCAGGACGGAAAGACCCCAGGAGCUUUACUACAGCUUGAUAUUGGGGGCGUGUGACUAAUGCGUAGAAUAGAUGGGAGACUUUGAAGUAGUCCUUUUGGGGAUUAUGGAGUCGUCAGUGAAAUACCAUCCUUUAUUUAUGCGUCUUCUAACCAGUAUGGAAAAACCAUAUCGAGACAGUAUCUGGCAGGUAGUUUUAGUGGGGCGCUAUCCUCCUAAAAAGUAACGGAGGAGUUUAAAGGUUCUCUAGGCGCGGAUGGAAACCGUGCCGAUAGUGUAAUGGCAUAAGAGAGCUUGACUGUGAGACGUACGUGUCAAACAGGCGCGAAAGCGGAACAUAGUGAACCGAUAGCUUGCUUUAGACGCAGCUAGAGAUUAACGGAUAAAAGUUACCCUGGGGAUAACAGGCUGGUACCGCCUAAGAGUCCAUAUCGCCGGCGGUGUUCGGCACCUCGAUGUCGGCUCACCUUAUCCUGGGGCUGAAGAAGGUCCCAAGGGUUUGGCUGUUCGCCAAUUAAAAAGGUACGCGAGCUGGGUUCAGACCGUUGAGA
rnacentral:rRNA from 1 species